GAUGAACGCUGGCGGCGUGCCUAAUACAUGCAAGUCGAGCGAACAGACGAGGAGCUUGCUCCUCUGACGUUAGCGGCGGACGGGUGAGUAACACGUGGAUAACCUACCUAUAAGACUGGGAUAACUUCAGGAAACCGGAGCUAAUACCGGAUAAUAUAUUGAACUGCAUGGUUCAAUAGUGAAAGACGGUUUUGCUGUCACUUAUAGAUGGAUCCGCGCCGCAUUAGCUAGUUGGUAAGGUAACGGCUUACCAAGGCAACGAUGCGUAGCCGACCUGAGAGGGUGAUCGGCCACACUGGAACUGAGACACGGUCCAGACUCCUACGGGAGGCAGCAGUAGGGAAUCUUCCGCAAUGGGCGAAAGCUUGACGGAGCAACGCCGCGUGAGUGAUGAAGGUCUUCGGAUCGUAAAACUCUGUUAUUAGGGAAGAACAAAUGUGUAAGUAACUAUGCACGUCUUGACGGUACCUAAUCAGAAAGCCACGGCUAACUACGUG
rnacentral:rRNA from 1 species